UUCUACUCAACUCCUCUCCGUAUAUUUCUCUCUAAAACAAAAUCCCCUUUUUCUCACCCUAGGAUUUUCAAUGCGUAAGAGGAAACAAACAUCGUUCCUAGGGAGAAGAAAAUAUAUCUCAAAUACAAUGAAUGUCAUCCAUGAUGGUGGCGGCGCCGCCAUCGGUUUCACCUUAUUGGCUAUUAAGGAGGUGGAUGAAUUAGAGGCGGCAGUGACAAAGAUUGUUUUUUUGUUUUGAAAUCGGUGUUAUCCUUACCUGAGCUUUUACUCUAAUGUAUCUUUCUUUCUCGAAUUAGUCUUCUAAUUCGUUUUUUUUUGUUGGUUUUUUUUCUUUAUGUGAUUCUGGUUUUCUUGACCUUGUAAGACCUUUUCUUGACCUUGUAAGACCAAACAACAACUUUUAUCUCCUCAAAAUAUGUUGUUGUUCGGAUCUUAUAUCACUAUAUGGUCAUGAAAUGUCUUUCUACCGCUUUUCUUCGUUCCCACCCAACUCAUGUUCUCCUUCCUUGUCUAUCCCUUCUGAGCUAUUUCCCUCUUUUUGUCAUCGAUUAAUGAUCAAAAGACACUAAAGAGUUAAUUAUUUAUAAUUUGUUCCAUUUAGGCUUCAUUUACUAAAGCCGUAAACCCUAGUCUUGUCUAUCUAGGCCUAAAUUUUUCUCUCCAUUUCAAGCAUAAGACCAAAUCCCGAGUCUAUCAUCAACAAAGAUGCUUUAAGGACGGCUACAUGUUUAAAGAAGAUGAAAACCCUAGAAGAUGGUGGCAUAUAUUUUCAAGAUCUAAUUUAAAGCCAACUUAUAAAUUUGUUUGCAUCAUUUUUUUUCAAUAUAUCAUAUAAGGAAUGUUAUAAUGUAAUUGUUUUUUUUUCUUAAAGAUCUGAAUUAAAUUGUAUUAAUUAAAUGUGAAAUAAUAAAUUCACGAUGCCAAUGA